GAGCCCUAUGCUCUCGGAUUUCCGAGUUCCAGUUAUUUCGGCUGAGCGAGCAGAGCGGGAACAGUCCACUACACAAUUUGGGCCGAAUCCACGGGGCCCUGCUCCGGGUCAAACUCGAUGGGAAGAGCAGUCCUCCGCCCCAUCUGGCGAGCCCCGCCGCCGUCGACGCGUUCCAGUUUCACACCUUCUCUAGCCACGCCGCUGACUGCUGCCGCCAGACAGCAACGGUGAGCUCUCCUUCCAUCCAUCCAUCCAUCUUUUUUCUUUCGCGUAUUGUGUUGUCUGUUCUUGGGUUCUGCUGCUGCUGCCGAGGGAUAAUGUGAUUGAUGCAGCUGCGCGACUGUGUUGACUGCGUAGUUGCUAUUGCUGCAAGUUGGAUCACGGGUUGGUUGAGCAAACGCCUACAAAUAUUCAUGGGGGUAGCAAAAUGGUGGAGCUACGAGGGAGACGGAGAAAGAAGUAGCUGGCAAAUUCCCUUUCAGACCAGCGCAUGCCACUAGGCCUUCCGACAAAAUUCAUCGCAAGAUACAGAAUAUCACAAGGCUAGAGCACUUGAGAAAAACACAAGGAUCUGCGUACUCUGAGCUCUGAAGCACGCCACACAUGUUCCAUGGAAGAAGAAGAAGAAGAAACAAGACAAGGAAGAAGAGAUCAGAUGAAGGCUGU